rnacentral:rRNA from 1 species
GGUUAAGCGACUAAGCGUACACGGUGGAUGCCCUGGCAGUCAGAGGCGAUGAAGGACGUGCUAAUCUGCGAUAAGCGUCGGUGAGGUGAUAUGAACCGUUAUAACCGGCGAUUUCCGAAUGGGGAAACCCAGUGUGUUUCGACACACUAUCAUUAACUGAAUCCAUAGGUUAAUGAGGCGAACCGGGGGAACUGAAACAUCUAAGUACCCCGAGGAAAAGAAAUCAACCGAGAUUCCCCCAGUAGCGGCGAGCGAACGGGGAGGAGCCCAGAGCCUGAAUCAGUGUGUGUGUUAGUGGAAGCGUCUGGAAAGGCGUGCGAUACAGGGUGACAGCCCCGUACACAAAAAUGCACAUAUUGUGAGCUCGAUGAGUAGGGCGGGACACGUGGUAUCCUGUCUGAAUAUGGGGGGACCAUCCUCCAAGGCUAAAUACUCCUGACUGACCGAUAGUGAACCAGUACCGUGAGGGAAAGGCGAAAAGAACCCCGGCGAGGGGAGUGAAAAAGAACCUGAAACCGUGUACGUACAAGCAGUGGGAGCCUCUUAAUGGGGUGACUGCGUACCUUUUGUAUAAUGGGUCAGCGACUUAUAUUCUGUAGCAAGGUUAACCGAAUAGGGGAGCCGAAGGGAAACCGAGUCUUAACUGGGCGUUAAGUUGCAGGGUAUAGACCCGAAACCCGGUGAUCUAGCCAUGGGCAGGUUGAAGGUUGGGUAACACUAACUGGAGGACCGAACCGACUAAUGUUGAAAAAUUAGCGGAUGACUUGUGGCUGGGGGUGAAAGGCCAAUCAAACCGGGAGAUAGCUGGUUCUCCCCGAAAGCUAUUUAGGUAGCGCCUCGUGAAUUCAUCUCCGGGGGUAGAGCACUGUUUCGGCAAGGGGGUCAUCCCGACUUACCAACCCGAUGCAAACUGCGAAUACCGGAGAAUGUUAUCACGGGAGACACACGGCGGGUGCUAACGUCCGUCGUGAAGAGGGAAACAACCCAGACCGCCAGCUAAGGUCCCAAAGUCAUGGUUAAGUGGGAAACGAUGUGGGAAGGCCCAGACAGCCAGGAUGUUGGCUUAGAAGCAGCCAUCAUUUAAAGAAAGCGUAAUAGCUCACUGGUCGAGUCGGCCUGCGCGGAAGAUGUAACGGGGCUAAACCAUGCACCGAAGCUGCGGCAGCGACACUAUGUGUUGUUGGGUAGGGGAGCGUUCUGUAAGCCUGUGAAGGUGGCCUGUGAGGGUUGCUGGAGGUAUCAGAAGUGCGAAUGCUGACAUAAGUAACGAUAAAGCGGGUGAAAAGCCCGCUCGCCGGAAGACCAAGGGUUCCUGUCCAACGUUAAUCGGGGCAGGGUGAGUCGACCCCUAAGGCGAGGCCGAAAGGCGUAGUCGAUGGGAAACAGGUUAAUAUUCCUGUACUUGGUGUUACUGCGAAGGGGGGACGGAGAAGGCUAUGUUGGCCGGGCGACGGUUGUCCCGGUUUAAGCGUGUAGGCUGGUUUUCCAGGCAAAUCCGGAAAACCAAGGCUGAGGCGUGAUGACGAGGCACUACGGUGCUGAAGCGACAAAUGCCCUGCUUCCAGGAAAAGCCUCUAAGCAUCAGGUAACAUCAAAUCGUACCCCAAACCGACACAGGUGGUCAGGUAGAGAAUACCAAGGCGCUUGAGAGAACUCGGGUGAAGGAACUAGGCAAAAUGGUGCCGUAACUUCGGGAGAAGGCACGCUGAUAUGUAGGUGAAGCGACUUGCUCGUGGAGCUGAAAUCAGUCGAAGAUACCAGCUGGCUGCAACUGUUUAUUAAAAACACAGCACUGUGCAAACACGAAAGUGGACGUAUACGGUGUGACGCCUGCCCGGUGCCGGAAGGUUAAUUGAUGGGGUUAGCGGUAACGCGAAGCUCUUGAUCGAAGCCCCGGUAAACGGCGGCCGUAACUAUAACGGUCCUAAGGUAGCGAAAUUCCUUGUCGGGUAAGUUCCGACCUGCACGAAUGGCGUAAUGAUGGCCAGGCUGUCUCCACCCGAGACUCAGUGAAAUUGAACUCGCUGUGAAGAUGCAGUGUACCCGCGGCAAGACGGAAAGACCCCGUGAACCUUUACUAUAGCUUGACACUGAACAUUGAGCCUUGAUGUGUAGGAUAGGUGGGAGGCUUUGAAGUGUGGACGCCAGUCUGCAUGGAGCCGAC